rnacentral:rRNA from 1 species
AGAGUUUGAUCAUGGCUCAGGAUGAACGCUGGCGGCGUGCCUAACACAUGCAAGUCGAACGGACUUUUCAUGAAGCCUAGCGAUUGAAAAGUUAGUGGCGGACGGGUGAGUAACGCGUGGGUAACCUGCCUUGUACUGGGGGACAACAGUUGGAAACGACUGCUAAUACCGCAUAAGCGCACAGCUUCGCAUGAAGCAGUGUGAAAAACUCCGGUGGUACAAGAUGGACCCGCGUCUGAUUAGCUGGUUGGUGAGGUAACGGCCCACCAAGGCAACGAUCAGUAGCCGGCCUGAGAGGGUGAACCGGCCACAUUGGGACUGAGACACCGGACCCAAACUCCGUACGGGGAGGCAGCC